UCCAGACUCCUACGGGAGGCAGCAGUGGGGAAUAUUGCACAAUGGGGGAAACCCUGAUGCAGCGACGCCGCGUGAGUGAGGAAGUAUUUCGGUAUGUAAAGCUCUAUCAGCAGGGAAUAGAAAAGAAGGUACCUGAAAAAGAAGCCCCGGCUAACUACGUGCCAGCAGCCGCGGUAAUACGUAGGGGGCAAGCGUUAUCCGGAUUUACUGGGUGUAAAGGGAGCGUAGACGGCGGCGCAAGUCCGGAGUGAAAGCCCACGGCCCAACCGUGGGACUGCUCUGGAAACUGUGCGGCUUGAGUGCGGGAGGGGCAGGCGGAAUUCCUAGUGUAGCGGUGAAAUGCGUAGAUAUCAGGAGGAACACCGGUGGCGAAGGCGGCCUGCUGGACUGCGACUGACGUUGAGGCCCGAAAGCGUGGGGAGCAAACAGGAUUAGAUACCCCAGUA
rnacentral:rRNA from 1 species